AGAUCGUCGUCACUUGUAAUCUCAAUGUAGUCAUCAAACUUUUUCUUGGCUACUCUUCUUUUUUUCUUUGGCGGCUCUGUGGGCUGCAACUCCAGCGUAGUUUUUUUUUUCUAGACGGGUUUAUCUUUUUUGAUUUCUCGGGUGAAUGUUUCUUUUCUUCCUCUUGAGUGGGCUCUUCUUCAAUAUCUCCAACAUUGAUGC
rnacentral:lncRNA from 1 species